UGGUGCUGUGCUCUGAUCUACUAACCCGGCCUUACUAACUGGUUUCUCUAACUAAUCCAGCCCUGCCGAGCUCUGGGG
rfam:Cricetulus griseus cell line CHO-K1, whole genome shotgun sequence.